UACGUAGGGCGCAAGCGUUGUCCGGAAUUAUUGGGCGUAAAGAGCUCGUAGGCGGCUUGUCACGUCGGGUGUGAAAGCCCGGGGCUUAACCCCGGGUCUGCAUUCGAUACGGGCAGGCUAGAGUGUGGUAGGGGGGAUCGGAAUUCCUGGUGUAGCGGUGAAAUGCGCAGAUAUCAGGAGGAACACCGGUGGCGAAGGCGGAUCUCUGGGCCAUUACUGACGCUGAGGAGCGAAAGCGUGGGGAGCGAACAGG
rnacentral:rRNA from 1 species